rnacentral:rRNA from 1 species
AUACGUAGGUGACAAGCGUUAUCCGGAUUUACUGGGCGUAAAGGGCGUGUAGGCGGUCUUGCAAGUCAGAAGUGAAAUUCCUGAGCUCAACUCGGGCGCUGCUUCUGAAACUGCAGGACUUGAGUGCUGGAGGGGAUAGCGGAAUUCCUAGUGGAGCGGUAAAAUGCGCAGAUAUUAGGAAGAACACCGGUGGCGAAGGCGGCUAUCUGGACAGUAACUGACGCUGAGGCGGGAAAGCGUGGGGAGCAAACAGGAUUAGAUUCCCUGGGAGUCCACGCCGUAAACGAUGAAUACUAGGUGUAGGGGGUAUCGACUCCCUCUGUGCCGCAGUUAACACAAUAAGUAUUCCGCCUGGGGAGUACGGCCGCAAGGUUGAAACUUAAAGGAAUUGACGGGG